rnacentral:rRNA from 1 species
GUGUCAGCAGCCGCGGUAAUACGGGGGGGGCUAGCGUUGUUCGGAAUUACUGGGCGUAAAGGGCGCGUAGGCGGCCUACUAAGUCGGACGUGAAAUCCCUCGGCUCAACCGGGGAACUGCGUCCGAUACUGGUGGGCUCGAAUCCGGGAGAGGGAUGUGGAAUUCCAGGUGUAGCGGUGAAAUGCGUAGAUAUCUGGAGGAACACCGGUGGCGAAGGCGGCAUCCUGGACCGGUAUUGACGCUGAUGCGCGAAAGCCAGGGGAGCAAACGGGAUUAGAUACCCCUGUAGUCC